GAGUACUACAAGCCACAGCUUAAAACUCAAAGGACUUGGUGGUGCUCUACACCCACCUAGAGGAGCCUGUUCUAUAAUCGAUACCCCUCGAUAAACCUCACCUCUUUUUGCUAAUUCAGCCUAUAUACCACCGCCCCCAGCUCACCUCCCAAGAGAAUAACAGUAAGCAAAAUAAUUUUAAAUAAAAAAGUCAGGUCAAGGUGUAGCACAUAAAAAGGAAAGAAAUGGGCUACAUUUUUUAUUUUAAAAAAUACGGAAUAUUUUAUGAAACAAAAUACAAAGGAGGAUUUAGAAGUAAAAAGAAAAGAGAGAGUUCUUUUUAAGCCGGCAAUAGAGUGNGC
rnacentral:rRNA from 1 species